UACGUAGGUGGCAAGCGUUGUCCGGAUUUAUUGGGCGUAAAGCGAGCGCAGGCGGUUCCUUAAGUCUGAUGUAAAAGCCCCCGGCUCAACCGGGGAAGGUCAUUGGAAACUGUUAGACUUGAGUGCAGGAGAGAAGAGUGGAAUUCCUAGUGUAGCGGUGAAAUGCGUAGAGAUUAGGAGGAACACCAGUGGCGAAGGCGGCUCUUUGGCCUUGAACUGACACUGAUGCGCGAAAGCGUGGGGAGCAAACAGG
rnacentral:rRNA from 1 species